rnacentral:rRNA from 1 species
GGCGAACGGGUGAGUAAUGAAUCGGUACGUGCCCAGUAGUGGGGGAUAACCAGUCGAAAGACUGGCUAAUACCGCAUACGACCUACGGGUGAAAGCGGGGGACCGUAAGGCCUCGCGCUAUCGGAGCGGCCGAUUUCCGAUUAGCUAGUUGGUGAGGUAAAGGCUCACCAAGGCGAUGAUCGGUAGCUGGUCUGAGAGGACGGCCAGCCACACUGGGACUGAGACACGGCCCAGACUCCUACGGGAGGCAGCAGUGGGGAAUUUUGGACAAUGGGCGAAAGCCUGAUCCAGCCAUGCCGCGUGCGGGAAGAAGGCCUUCGGGUUGUAAACCGCUUUUGGCAGGAACGAAACGGCGCGGGCCAAUACCUCGCGUUAAUGACGGUACCUGCAGAAUAAGCACCGGCUAACUACGUGCCAGCCGCCG